GCCGAAGUGGUGGAAUUGGCAGACACGCAUGUUUGAGGGGCAUGUGGGGUAACCCGUGGGGGUUCGAGUCCCCCCUUCGGCACCA
rnacentral:tRNA from 1 species